UUAUAUUUGUGACUGGAUCCUUC
rnacentral:piRNA from 1 species